UACAGAGGUCUCAAGCGUUGUUCGGAUUUAUUGGGCGUAAAGCGUGCGUAGGCGGCGGGGUAAGUGAGGUGUGAAAUCCCGGAGCUUAACUCCGGAACUGCACUUUAUACUGCCUUGCUCGAGGGCUGGAGAGGAGACUGGAAUUUACGGUGUAGCAGUGAAAUGCGUAGAGAUCGUAAGGAAGACCAGUGGCGAAGGCGAGUCUCGUGGAAAGCUGCUGACGCU
rnacentral:rRNA from 1 species